GACAGUCAGAGCGAUUACUAGGAGCUUGCUCCUGGUAGUUAGCGGCGGACGGGUGAGUAACACGUGGGCAACCUGCCUGUAAGACUGGGAUAACUUCGGGAAACCGGAGCUAAUACCGGAUAAUCUUUUUCCUCUCAUGAGGGAAAACUGAAAGUCGGUUUCGGCUGACACUUACAGAUGGGCCCGCGGCGCAUUAGCUAGUUGGUGAGGUAACGGCUCACCAAGGCGACGAUGCGUAGCCGACCUGAGAGGGUGAUCGGCCACACUGGGACUGAGACACGGCCCAGACUCCUACGGGAGGCAGCAGUAGGGAAUCUUCCACAAUGGACGAAAGUCUGAUGGAGCAACGCCGCGUGAACGAUGAAGGCCUUCGGGUCGUAAAGCUCUGUUGUUAGGGAAGAACAAGUAUCGGAGUAACUGCCGGUACCUUGACGGUACCUAACCAGAAAGCCACGGCUAACUACGUGCCAGCAGCCGCGGUAAUACGUAGGUGGCAAGCGUUGUCCGGAAUUAUUGGGCGUAAAGCGCGCGCAGGCGGUCCUUUAAGUCUGAUGUGAAAGCCCACGGCUCAACCGUGGAGGGUCAUUGGAAACUGGGGGACUUGAGUGCAGAAGAGGAAAGCGGAAUUCCACGUGUAGCGGUGAAAUGCGUAGAGAUGUGGAGGAACACCAGUGGCGAAAGCGGCUUUCUGGUCUGUAACUGACGCUGACGCGCGAAAGC
rnacentral:rRNA from 1 species